rnacentral:lncRNA from 1 species
CCCCGCCUUUAUAAGAGAACUCACUGGAAGAAAAGCAUCAUUUGAAUUAAUUAUUUGCACAUAUGGUGUGUUCCUGAUGUCAGCUAAUGCUGCAUUAAGGACAGACAUGCUGGGCACCCAUUAAAUAAUCAAGUAAAUAUUUGUAUUGUUUAUGAUAAACCGCUUCCUUCCGUGGGUAUUUUCGAUGUCUUUGUAAACAUGCCUUUAGGAGGCAGACUUUGUUUGUUGGGGCUUCAUACCAGGCUCAAAUCCCACAAAGAGCCCUGUUUAAAUUCCACAUCCGACAAAGAAACCUCACACCCACUGUGUUUUUGGGAGCUAAGUGAAUAUUUAGUAACACUUUAAUAUAAUAGCCGGAUCAUUAUGGUGUAUUACUGAACUGAAUGCUAUGUUAAUAACGCGAGUCACACGGACGCAUUCCUGUCCUCGUCUGAAUGUGGUAAGUACUUCUAUAUGAUUUCCACUGUAAUUCAAUAGUAAUUAGUGAUACAAUUACUUCAAGCUGGCACCACAUGUUUAUAUUGAACCAACAGGAAUGUUUGGUCUCAGCAUAGAAGAGACCCCAGUGUCUUAUGGAAGACUGGGGCCCAGGUAAGCCAACCGGAUUUUUCUUUGGUGAAAUGUAUUAUGUAAUUGGAAUGUACACAGGGUUUUUAAAUGCUCUGAGUCUGGGAAUGAACUUGACUUUCACACUCAUUCCUGAAGGUCACAUUGUCAUCGGGAAACAGGUAAAGGAAUUGUCUCUGGGCACAUUUUCCUGAAAAGAACCCCAUGUUUGAGAAAAGCUUGAAGUGAGAGUGGGAGAGGAUGCCACCCAGGUGAGAAGAUGCUCUAGGAGCUGUACUUGGCACUUGUCCGAAUAGAAAUUCCUAAUGAUUAUCGGGGCCUUUUGGAAUAAGGUCCUUAUAAUGGUUCUUUUUCAGUGAGCUUUAGGGCAUCUGGAUUUUUUUCAGGCUUGAUAUCUCCCAGGGGCCUCUGUGUGUGCUCUCAGAUGCCUCUUUUUGUCUCAUAGAAAGAAGGUCAUCAAAUACCUGGCAUCCUUCUAUUGAGAUCCGAGAAGCCUGUGGUAGCCUGUGGUAGUUGCCUGUGGAAGCCUGUGGUAGUUGCCCAACUAGGAUUCUUGGGAACCGACUCUGAUGAUAUCAGCUAAAGGGAGAUGAGUCUGUUGGGAUGAAGAAGCUUGCAAACAACCUCUAGACAUUUCUUGGAAAUUUAGAAGCAAGGAUCUCAUUCCUUUUCGGGAAGCAAGGAGAACGGGGCCAAUAAAUACUUCUCAUUACUUUAAGGCAGUGCAGCUUAUUAUUGGCUACUUCUUGGCUGUGAAAUGUAAUCUAUGGAGGAAAAAACUCUUCAUUUCCUUUGCACCCUCCUUAAAAAAGAAAACAAAACAAACAAAAAACCCACCUCUACAUGCAUUGAUUUAUUCUGGGACCCCAAGAAAAGCAGAUCUCCGAUCUUUUGAUCAUGAAUGAACCUCUUCAUUCAUUCACUCACCGGUUCAGCACACUUUGACUGGUGGCCCAUUAGGUCUCAGGAAUUGUGCUUGAGCUGGAAUUGGCACAGGAAUCUGGAGCAGCCCAAUGAGAUGGGAGGAGCUAUGUAUUAAAAAAGCAGGGAGAUGGUCACAGCCAGUCUUCGAAGUGACUGAUUGUCCCAAAGGGCAGGUGCUCGGGAAUGGGGACCCUCUGAAUGACUGGAGUCUCUUCAGAAGAGGGCACCAGGGACAGGAAUGUGAAGAAUAUUCUGGAUAAACUGCAACCGUGAAGGCAUGUGAGUUUUACGUGGGCCUUGGGCUUGUGAGUCUUAAAGUUUUAUUAUGACGGGAGAACUCCCUCAGAAUGUCAGGAUUGGUUGGGCUGAGGUCCAGGUUAUCGUUCUGUCUUUACGCCCCACGUGGCAAAUUCUUCUGGACAACGCAUUUGUGUUUGAGAAGACUGCUUGGUCCAAGGGGAGGAACAGGCUUUUAUGUUCGUGCCGGGAGCCUGCCCCGGUCCCUCUGCUGCCACCCUGACUAUGCACAUGUUGCAACGUGGUUUCUUUAGCUGAUGGUGCAGUUCUUGUCUACCCAUCAACAGGCGGUGGGUGUUGGCACACGGGAUCGGAUGCUACAUCUUGCACCUGUCUUUGGCUGCCACCCCCCAACCCCCACGGCCCCUACCUCCUUCUCUUCCCUCCCCUCCCCCGCUGUCACAGUUCACCUGUGUUCCAGCCACGCUAACGGCGAGCAGGUGGUUGCCUGCACACCUCGUGCCAGUCCCCGCCUCAUCACUUGCAUCCACCUGCCGUUCUGUUUUUCUCCCUCACGGUGAGCUAGUUCGAGAGCUACUUCCUUCCUGAAGUCCUCCCAUUCUCUUCAAUGUUUAUGCUGCACUUGACACUGCCCACUGGACACUCCUUAUCUGUAUGUAAGCUGUAGAUAAGAUCUGUAUCUAUAUCUGUAUCGUAUCUAUAUCUAGCUCCCUAUUCCAGCUGUGCAAUGUAGCUGAUUAAAACCAUGCUGUGGCUUAUGCUCUGUGUAAGCAUCACGUUAUUCUGGGGGCAUAGAUGUUGUUAUUAUUCCCCUUUUAGAGGUGAAAAGGAAAACUGAGGGUGACGGUGGAAUUAGGUUCUGGCCCAUUGAUACCACAGCUGCUGGGUAUGUGCUCUCUCUUCAGCACUGCCUGCUUCAGCAGAUGUACUGAAAGUCUUUGAUGCACCGGGGACUCUUCUAGUGCCUGGAAAACAGUUGUGCUGAAACAUCACGCCCCUGUUCUAGGGAGGGAGAUAGACAAUACACAGGCACAUACGUAAGAGCCAGGGGUAGUGAUGGGGUAAGUGCUUGGAGAAAAACAAGCAGGGACAGGGAGGGAGCGGGGAUGCCAUAUCGAUGGCCUCUGAUCAGAUGGGGUGUCAGCGUGGCUGGAGCAGAGUGAGGGAUGGAGAGGGGCAGGGAUGAGUUCCAGGAGGGGAGAUGGGACCAAGGGCAUGUGAGCUGUAGAAUGGAGCUUGGGUUUUAUUCUGUUGUCAUAGGAGAGUGGAGCAAAGCGUGAAUUCACCUGAUCUAUGGUUUUAUAAAAAAGCAUUCUGGGGAGUUCCCGUUGUGGCUCAGUGGGUUAAGAACCCUACUGUCAUCCCUGAGGAUGGGGAUUUGAUCCCUGGCCCCGCUCAGUGGACUAAGGAUCCUGCAUUGCUGUGGCUGUGGUGCAGGCCGGCAGCUGUAGCUCCGAUUCAACCCCUAGCCUAGAAACUUCCAUAUGCUGCGGGUGUGGC